rnacentral:rRNA from 1 species
UACGUAGGUGGCAAGCGUUGUCCGGAUUUACUGGGCGUAAAGAGCGUGUAGGCGGCUUGGUAAGUCCGCUGUGAAAGUCCAGGGCUCAACCCUGGAAAGCCGGUGGAAACUGUCAAGCUUGAGUCCGGAAGAGGCGAGUGGAAUUCCUGGUGUAGCGGUGAAAUGCGCAGAUAUCAGGAAGAACACCCGUGGCUAAGGCGGCUCUCUAGUACGGUACUGACGCUGAGACGCGAAAGCGUGGGGAGCGAACAGG